CAUGCAAGUCGACGAUGAACCACUUCGGUGGGGAUUAGUGGCGAACGGGUGAGUAACACGUGGGCAAUCUGCCCUGCACUCUGGGACAAGCCCUGGAAACGGGGUCUAAUACCGGAUACUGACGCUCGCAGGCAUCUGUGAGAGUCGAAAGCUCCGGCGGUGCAGGAUGAGCCCGCGGCCUAUCAGCUUGUUGGUGAGGUAACGGCUCACCAAGGCGACGACGGGUAGCCGGCCUGAGAGGGCGACCGGCCCACACUGGGACUGAGACACGGCCCAGACUCCUACGGGAGGCAGCAGUGGGGAAUAUUGCACAAUGGGCGAAAGCCUGAUGCAGCGACGCCGCGUGAGGGAUGACGGCCUUCGGGUUGUAAACCUCUUUCAGCAGGGAAGAAGCGAAAGUGACGGUACCUGCAGAAGAAGCGCCGGCUAACUACGUGCCAGCAGCCGCGGUAAUACGUAGGGCGCAAGCGUUGUCCGGAAUUAUUGGGCGUAAAGAGCUCGUAGGCGGCUUGUCGCGUCGGUUGUGAAAGCCCGGGGCUUAACCCCGGGUCUGCAGUCGAUACGGGCAGGCUAGAGUUCGGUAGGGGAGAUCGGAAUUCCUGGUGUAGCGGUGAAAUGCGCAGAUAUCAGGAGGAACACCGGUGGCGAAGGCGGAUCUCUGGGCCGAUACUGACGCUGAGGAGCGAAAGCGUGGGGAGCGAACAGGAUUAGAUACCCUGGUAGUCCACGCCGUAAACGGUGGGCACUAGGUGUGGGCAACAUUCCACGUUGUCCGUGCCGCAGCUAACGCAUUAAGUGCCCCGCCUGGGGAGUACGGCCGCAAGGCUAAAACUCAAAGGAAUUGACGGGGGCCCGCACAAGCGGCGGAGCAUGUGGCUUAAUUCGACGCAACGCGAAGACCCUUACCAAGGCUUGACAUCCCCCGGAAACGUCCAGAGAUGGGCGCCCCCUUGUGGUCGGUGUCCAGGUGGUGCAUGGUUGUCUUCAGCUCGUGUCGUGAGAUGUUGGGUUAAGUCCCGCAACGAGCCCAACCCUUGUCCCGUGUUGCCACCAACUCUUCGGAGGUUGGGGACUCACGGGAGACCGCCGGGGUCAACUCGGAGGAAGGUGGGGACGACGUCAAGUCAUCAUGCCCCUUAUGUCUUGGGCUGCACACGUGCUACAAUGGCCGGUACAAUGAGCUGCGAUACCGCAAGGUGGAGCGAAUCUCAAAAAGCCGGUCUCAGUUCGGAUUGGGGUCUGCAACUCGACCCCAUGAAGUCGGAGUCGCUAGUAAUCGCAGAUCAGCAUUGCUGCGGUGAAUACGUUCCCGGGCCUUGUACACACCGCCCGUCACGUCACGAAAGUCGGUAACACCCGAAGCCGGUGGCCCAACCCCUUGUGGGAGGGAGCUGUCGAAGGUGGGACUGGCGAUUGGGACGAAGUCG
rnacentral:rRNA from 1 species